AGUGAACGCUGGCGGUAGGCCUAACACAUGCAAGUCGAACGGCAGCACAGUAAGAGCUUGCUCUUACGGGUGGCGAGUGGCGGACGGGUGCGGAAUACAUCGGAAUCUACUUUUUCGUGGGGGAUAACGUAGGGAAACUUACGCUAAUACCGCAUACGACCUACGGGUGAAAGCAGGGGAUCUUCGGACCUUGCGCGAUUGAAUGAGCCGAUGUCGGAUUAGCUAGUUGGCGGGGUAAAGGCCCACCAAGGCGACGAUCCGUAGCUGGUCUGAGAGGAUGAUCAGCCACACUGGAACUGAGACACGGUCCAGACUCCUACGGGAGGCAGCAGUGGGGAAUAUUGGACAAAGGGCGCAAGCCUGAUCCAGCCAUACCGCGUGGGUGAAGAAGGCCUUCGGGUUGUAAAGCCCUUUUGUUGGGAAAGAAAAGCAGCAGGUUAAUACCCCGCUGUUCUGACGGUACCCAAAGAAUAAGCACCGGCUAACUUCGUG
rnacentral:rRNA from 1 species